GGGAGGGUGUUAUAGCCUGCCGUACGAUACCCUAGCGGAGACCGAGGUUCGCGCUCCGCAAGGAUGCUGGCGUAAUGGUCAUCAGCGACCCGUCUUGAAACACGGACCAAGGGAGUCGUCCAUUAGAGCGAGCGUUUGGGUGUAAAACCCGCACGCGUAAUGAAAGUGAAAUUAGGUGAGAGCUUCGGCGCAUCAUCGACCGAUCCUGAUGUUCUCGGAUGGAUUUGAGUAAGAGUUUUAACGGACGGACCCGAAAGACAGUGAACUAUGCUUGUAUAGGGUGAAGCCAGAGGAAACUCUGGUGGAGGCUCGCAGCGGUUCUGACGUGCAAAUCGAUCGUCAAAUAUGAGCAUGGGGGCGAAAGACUAAUCGAACUGUCUAGUAGCUGGUUACCGCCGAAGUUUCCCUCAGGAUAGCAGUGUUGACCUUCAGUUUUAUGAGGUAAAGCGAAUGAUUAGGGACUCGGGGGCGCUUUUUAGCCUUCAUCCAUUCUCAAACUUUAAAUAUGUAAGAAGCCCUUGUUACUUAAUUGAACGUGGGCAUUCGAAUGUACCAACACUAGUGGGCCAUUUUUGGUAAGCAGAACUGGCGAUGCGGGAUGAACCGAACGCGGGGUUAAGGCGCCAGAGUGUACGCUCAUCAGACACCACAAAAGGCGUUAGUACAUCUUGACAGCAGGACGGUGGCCAUGGAAGUCGGAAUCCGCUAAGGACUGUGUAACAACUCACCUGCCGAAUGUACUAGCCCUGAAAAUGGAUGGCGCUCAAGCGUACCGCCCAUACCCCGCCCUCAGGGUAGAAACGAUGCCCUGAGGAGUAGGCGGCCGUGGAGGUUAGUGACGAAG
rnacentral:rRNA from 1 species